GCAUAUGAGUUGGGGUAUGUGGAAGGGACAUGUUGGCAUACCCGAUUCAGUCAUCUUGUUAGCUAUGGUGCAGGCUACUACAGCUACUUGUUUGCGAAAUGCUUCGCUGCCACCAUCUGGCAAAAAGUAUUACACGAAGACCCGCUGUCGCCAGAUGCAGGGUCUGCCCUUCGUUUUAAAUUAUUGCAGCAUGGUGGAGCAAAAGACCCGGCCAUCAUAUUGAACGAUCUUGUUGGAGAGAGUAGUGCGAUAAGGAAUCAGAAUGGAGGACUCAUCCCGGACAUUACUAGCCUGGCUGAGGAGCUCACACUAUUCAACUAGAGCUUGCUUUCCUCGCAAAACGAGACCAAAGUAAAUUAGGGGCCAAUUUUGGAGGGAGGCAAACAAUUUUGAGGCAUGCAAACAAUUUUGAGGCAUGCUUCUCUCUUAUCCUUCAUCUUUCUUCUGUUUAAAUUAUUAAUCUGUUUUGUCUCUCGAAAUUUAUGCAUAAGUUCAAUUCUAUGCAUAUAAUUAAAUGUUUUUUAGUGGUAGGAAUUUAAUUGAAUGGGAGUAUUAAAUAUUUGUUGUGAUCAUGGUCUAAUAAUGUUGAGCAAUGGUUACCAGUCUAUAUAUAUAGGGAUAUGAGAUCAGUUUGGAAA